UAUUUUCAAACCAGUGGAGAAUCAAUCAAGUUUUAAACAAAUUAUUAUCAUACCCGAAUAUUUCAGGUUACAGGGCAGGGGCGUCCUGAAAUGUUGGAGGCCAUCUACCCUCUCUCUUGCUGGGACAUCGCAUGAAGAAGUUGAGUUAGGCGUUUACUCUAAUAUUUCACUCACACUAGUUAGUGACAUAACAAGAGAUCAAUGACUAUCGACGAGCAAUCGCACUUGAAGAAAGAGGAAGAAAAUGGUACGAAUCCUAAGAUCAAUAGGUACUGGAUUCAACGUUACGAUCUGUUCUCGAGGUAUGACGAAGGUAUCCAAAUAGAUGAAGAAGGAUGGUACUCUGUGACUCAUGAAGAGAUCGCCAUCAAACACGCAGAGAGGUGCCGUGGAAAAGUGGUGAUUGAUUGCUUCGCAGGCGUUGGUGGUAACACUAUUCAAUUUGCUAAAGUUUCUUCUUCUGUAAUCGCUAUCGACAUUGAUCCAAUGAAAGUUCAAAUGGCUAUGAACAAUGCAAACGUCUAUGGAGUUGCUAAUCAUGUGGAUUUUGUCGUUGGUGAUUUCUUCAGUUUAGCUCCAUCUCUCAAAGGAGAUGUAUCGUUUCUUUCUCCACCAUGGGGAGGACCAAAUUAUUGCAAAGUCGAGAGUUUCAAGAUGGAUAUGCUUCAGCCAAGAGACGGGUACUCAUUGUUUAAGAUUGUUCAGUCCAUUACUCCUAAUAUCAUCAUGUAUCUACCGAAAAAUGUUGAUUUAGCACAGUUGGAAGAACUGGCUUCCCUCUCGUCACCUCCCCUAACUCUUGAGAUAGAAGAAAGUUGUAUUGGAGGCAAAAUGAUAGCCAUAACGGCUUAUUUUAGUCGCAAUGCAAUUUGAACUUGCAUCAAAAAGGAACUAUCUUUUCUGCAGCAGGGGAUAGAGGAAUUGACUCCUGAAGGAGUUAAUACAAUUUCUUGAAGAGAAUUUUUGAAAUAAAUAGUUAUGAUUAUUGUUCCAAGGAUACAGAAUUCUCAUUUCAUCUUUCCACUUUAUGCAGGAUUCUAUCACAUGGAUAUUUGAUACAAAUUCAAUGCAUCAUUCGUAGAAAAUAAAGAAUUCACUCUCCUUUCCCGUUAGUUUAUUCGGUUAGACUCCGUUGAUAUCGACUGUAAAAAAGCCGAGCACUGAUGAGUGAUGACAAAAUUUAUGGUACAAACAAACAAACCCAUUUGAAAAGUUCAAAAGCCCUACCCGCUCCCUUGCAGACAACCUAAUCUCAAUCUUGUUUUCACUGGUAUCCGACCGCUGUGUCGGUGCCGAUGUGACCUCUUUCUCUUUACUAUUGUGUAUUGCUUUGGUUUUUCUCUGGAGACUCUUCUCCAUCUCAUGUCUACAUGUUUGCUUGCUCUGUUGUCUCGGUGACAACGUCUCUGUUCGGAAUGGAGACGUUCGAAGGGCAGGUAGUGGAGUAACGACAAGACAUGUGUGAAGUCGUUGGCAGCUCCAGAUCUUUGUCUUUUUUUGCUCACUGGAUUUGGAGUGUGUAGAUCCAUCCGGCUUUCGUUCUCAUUGGUUGGUUUGGAUCAAUUACCAGUACUUGCUUCAAAGGCCUUGUUGAUUUGUUUACUAUCGAAUCACCUCUCGGUCGUGGAUUUGGCGAGUAAGAGAAGCUUUGUUCUUCGGUUCUCGUUGACGAAUCGCGUAUUAAUCACCGGCUCUGUUGGACCAUCCCAGCAUCAUCGUUUGGGCUGUGUCCUUCUCGUUGAUGGGUCAAAAUCUUUUGCUUCUCUUUCGCAGGCGACGUCUCAGAACGAGCUUUCCUCCCAAAUCCCUCUCCACUCCUCCAAGGACAUCUUCUUCCGGUCCGUCAUCUUCUGAGGCAGUUCCGAACUCUCAGUCAUCCCAGAGAGUUUCUCGGAGUCAUCCUCCUCCUGCAUCUCAUAUGCCUCCACUUCCUCCUUCUCCAGCCGCUGCACCUCAGCCUGUCCCAGCAGGUGUGCCUCCAUCUGCCCCAUACGCAGGAUAUACAGUGGAGUAUUUUCUCACCCAGCCUGGACGAGAGGGCUUGGAUUUUCUUGAUCCCAACAGACCGCGGGAAACUUAUUAUUUUUAGUACAUUAAAAUUUUACUUAUUUUUUUUAACAAUUAGGUUCUCUUUUUAGUUUUGGGGCCAACAACCGUGUUGACUGGAGCGUGUCAAAGACGAUAAAGGGCUACUACGACGGAGCCUACCCGAAUUGGAGCAAGAAUCCAGACCACGUUAAGACGACUUGGUUUAAAUGAUUUGCGGGAAUUUUUUUUUAAAAAUCUAAUUAAAUAUUUAUAUCAAAUUAAAUAUUUAUUUUAUUUUUUUCAAAAUUUUGUUUGUUUCAGAAAAGGUGGCACUGGCCCUUGGGAAUCAACAAGAGGGUGAAGAGGGAAUUCGUUGCAAAGGCAAAGACCCGCCUUUGCAACACUGUCUCCGAUUGGAAGGACAAGUGGGAGAUCUACGGUUAUGACCGUAAGCCCACCGAGCUCACGAAGGAAGUAUGGGAUGAUCUCAUCGCCUUUUGGACUCUUCGAUCCGUAAGGCCAACUCGUGCUCCGCUUCCCGUAGAACGAAGGACAAAGAUGGUCAUUUGCCCAUGGUUCACUGAACCAAACAAAAGCCUCAGCCGGAAUCCGUCUAGAAGCUGGAAAUUGUUUCUAAUAUUUAUUUUAAAUUUUUUUUAAUUAAUUUAAAUUUUAAUUUUUUUUUUUUUGGUAGUAUGAGAAGAUGGAAGUCUUACCAUCUCUGUCUGAUCUAUUACAGAUGACUCACGCCACAUCAGACAUGAUUUUUGUGGAUCCGACAUCCGAGAAACUCUUCAACGCAGUGGCUUCUCGGGUUGAAGAGCGGGAGAUGCAAUUAAUCCAGCAGUCUUCUGGUGGAUUACCCGUCAAACUGACCACCGAAGAGGUCGACAUGAUUUUUGAAGAGGUGGCUCCUAGAAGAAAUAACAGACAGUGGGUAUAGGUUUUGUUAACGAAGUUGCUAAGGCAACUUCGUCAUAUGCUUCGAGACGGGAUGAAGAGAACUCUCAGAUGAGAGCUCAGAUGGAUAGCCAGCAGGAUCGUUUAGACUCUCUUGAAGAUCUGUUGGACGUGAUGGCGGUGGGAAACCCGACUAUGAAGAUAGCACUAAAUGAGAGACGAGCAGCUGUCGGGAUGCCAAUAAGGAAUCCCGAAGAUGCCGAUCCAGACCGUUCUCAACCGAGCACCGACACCGACUACUUCGAUAAUAUGUAGUAGUUUUUUUUUUCAUUUUGUAUUAUGAAUUUAAAUAUUAUGUUAUGACUUUUAAAUAGUUUUUAAUAAUAUGUUUUGAUUUUCACA